GCGUUUGUAGUCCAACGGUUAACAUAAAUGUAUUCUAAGGAAUAAACCCGGGUUCGACUCCCGGUAGACGCA
rnacentral:tRNA from 1 species